UGGGGAAUAUUGCACAAUGGGCGCAAGCCUGAUGCAGCGACGCCGCGUGGGGGAUGACGGCCUUCGGGUUGUAAACUCCUUUCGCUAGGGACGAAGCUUUUUGUGACGGUACCUAGAUAAGAAGCACCGGCUAACUACGUGCCAGCAGCCGCGGUAAUACGUAGGGUGCGAGCGUUGUCCGGAAUUACUGGGCGUAAAGAGCUCGUAGGUGGUUUGUCGCGUCGUCUGUGAAAUUCCGGGGCUUAACUCCGGGCGUGCAGGCGAUACGGGCUGACUUGAGUGCUGUAGGGGAGACUGGAAUUCCUGGUGUAGCGGUGAAAUGCGCAGAUAUCAGGAGGAACACCGAUGGCGAAGGCAGGUCUCUGGGCAGUAACUGACGCUGAGGAGCGAAAGCAUGGGUAGCGAACAGG
rnacentral:rRNA from 1 species